GACGAACGCUGGCGGCGUGCCUAAUACAUGCAAGUAGAACGCACAGUUUAUACCGUAGCUUGCUACACCAUAGACUGUGAGUUGCGAACGGGUGAGUAACGCGUAGGUAACCUGCCUGGUAGCGGGGGAUAACUAUUGGAAACGAUAGCUAAUACCGCAUAAUAUUAAUUAUUGCAUGAUAAUUAAUUGAAAGGUGCAAUUGCACCACUACCAGAUGGACCUGCGUUGUAUUAGCUAGUAGGUGAGGUAACGGCUCACCUAGGCGACGAUACAUAGCCGACCUGGGAGGGUGGUCGGCCACACGGGGACGGAAACAGGGCCCAGACUACUACGGGAGGCAGCAGUAGGGAAUCUUCGGCAAUGGACGAAAGUCUGACCGAGCAACGCCGCGUGAGUGAAGAAGGUUUUCGGAUCGUAAAGCUCGGUUGUAAGAGAAGAACGGGUGUGAGAGUGGAAAGUUCACACUGUGACGGUAUCUGACCAGAAAGGGACGGCUAACUACGUG
rnacentral:rRNA from 1 species